rnacentral:rRNA from 1 species
UACGGGGGGGCGAAGCGUUGUUCGGAAUUACUGGGGCGUAAAGGCUCGUAGGUGGCCAACUAAGUCAGACGUGAAAUCCCUCGGCUUAACCGGGGAACUGCGUCUGAUACUGGAUGGCUUGAGUUUGGGAGAGGAGUGCGGAAUUCCAGGUGUAGCGGUGAAAUGCGUAGAUAUCUGGAGGACACCGGUGGCGAAGGCGGCAUCCUGGACCAACACUGACGCUGAGUGAGCGAAAGCCAGGGGAGCAAGCGGG